GAACCGAACACGAACAGAAGCUCUGUUCGUUCGUGUUCGGUUUGUUUACACCCCUAAUCUGAAGUCUACGGUACCAAACACCCUCACCGCAGAGAAUUAUCAGAUGUGGCACUCUCAGACUAUUAAGCUGACUGAAGCCAAUGGCUUCUUGGGAUUUCUUGGCGGCACCGUACCAUCCCCUCCGCCCAUGAUCCUCAACACUUCUGGUGUAUCCUCUCCCAAUCCUGUUUACACCAUCUGGCACCUUAUUGAUCAGAACCUGGCGGCAGAACUAUUUCUCCCACGAACUUGCCCUGUGUUCUUCAUCUUGAAACCAGCACGCCAUUUGGAAUGCCUUGGAAAUGCAUCAUCAAACCACUAAUCAUUCUCGCAUUAUCCGGAUAAAGAACGAGCUACACAACGUAUCGAUGAACAUGCUCUCAAUAUCUGAAUACCUCAUGCAGAUUAAAGCCACUGUUGACAACAUAUCGGCAACUGGGUCUCAUGUUGAUGUCGAAGAUAUAAUACUUUACAUCUUGAAGGUACUUCCUACAACAUAUUGUUUGUUCACGACCUCCAUCCGUACUAGAUCAACUCCUAUCAGUCUUGAUGAGCUAUAUGCCAUCCUAAUUAGCGAAGAGAUCAAUCUCCUCAUUGAGCAAGCUGCUGUCUCCACCAAAACUGAUCCUCAUCAAGCCCUGUAUUCCGCCAAAACCAAGAACAGAUACUACAAGGGUAAAGAUAUGCAAUAAAUCUGGACAGCUUGCCUCUAACUGCUGGCAUCGUCUGAAUAUUCAAUAUCAGCCCAAAACUUCUCAUGCGGCAUAUAUUACGUCCUCCAUUCCUUCAAGUCGCCAGAAUGGUAUCAAGAUACCGGGGCAACCUUGCAUCUAACUUCAGACUACAAACAACUUCAGCAUCCCGAGCCGUAUCAUGAGCACGUGACUAUUAUGUUCGGUGGUCAUACCGUUCCCAUCAAAUACUCUGGCUCCGGCAUCUUACCAUCCCCGACUAUCAAGGCUAUUUCAUACACAUCACAUCUCACAUAAUCUGAUUUAAAUCUCUCAGUUAACUCAUAACAAUAAUUGAGUGAUAAGUUCUUAUGCUCAUGGCUACCAAAUCAAGGACCGCAUGACUCAACAGCUUCUCCUUCAGGGUAUGCGCGCAUUCAUGAUCUCUAUCGCAUUCCCAAUAAUCAUCAAGCUUUAGCGGUUGUGGUAGCUUCCUCCACCCAGUGGCAUCGGCGCCUUGGAUAUCCACAUCAGCAAGUCCUUCAACCCAUCUCUCAACGGCAACCACAUUUACGGAUUUCUUCUCAUUUUUCUGUAUGCAAUUCAUGUAAUAGUGCUAAAUGUCAUCACUUCCGUUUUCUAAUUCUACUAGCAGGCAUUGUAUUCCAUAAGCAUUGAUACAUAGUGAUGUAUGGGGACCACUCCCAUGCCUUAACUUUAAGGCUACAAAUAUUAUGUGCUUUUUAUUGAUGAUUUUUCUUGGUUUAGUUGGAUUUAUCCAAUGUUUACAAAAUCUCAAGUUCUUCAACACUUCAUUAAGUUCAAACAUGAAGUUGAACUUCAGUUUGACUACAUAUUUAAGAUUCUUCGUACAGAUUGUUAAGUUGGAGCCUGAUCCACGCCUCAUUCUCCCGCUCCCGACUCUCGCUUUCGCCAGUGAUUCGCGAACUACUCUGUCACGAAGCGAAGCUUCGUUUCGGACCGCUCCUUUGUCGCGAAAGGUCGCGACUCCUCCUGCUCCCACUCGAUCGCAGAACUGUUCUCGCCUACACCCGUUCUCGCUUCUUGUUCGUGAUAAACGCUUCGGAUGUCUCUCGUUGGGUCAAGAA